rnacentral:rRNA from 1 species
UACAGAGGUCUCAAGCGUUGUUCGGAUUCAUUGGGCGUAAAGGGUGCGUAGGCGGCGCGACAAGUUGGGUGUGAAAUCCCUCGGCUCAACCGAGGAACUGCGCUCAAUACUGUCGUGCUCGAGGGAGACAGAGGUGAGCGGAACUUAGGGUGGAGCGGUGAAAUGCGUUGAUAUCCUAAGGAACACCGGUAGCGAAAGCGGCUCACUGGGUCUUUUCUGACGCUGAGGCACGAAAGCUAGGGUAGCGAACGGG